UCCAGACUCCUACGGGAGGCAGCAGUGGGGAAUAUUGCACAAUGGGGGAAACCCUGAUGCAGCGACGCCGCGUGAGUGAAGAAGUAUUUCGGUAUGUAAAGCUCUAUCAGCAGGGAAGAGAAUGACAGUACCUGACUAAGAAGCCCCGGCUAACUACGUGCCAGCAGCCGCGGUAAUACGUAGGGGGCAAGCGUUAUCCGGAUUCACUGGGCGUAAAGGGAGCGCAGGCGGCAUGGCAAGUCUGAUGUGAAAGCCCGGGGCCCAACCCCGGGAGUGCAUUGGAAACUGCCAGGCUAGAGUGUCGGAGGGGUAAGCGGAAUUCCUAGUGUAGCGGUGAAAUGCGUAGAUAUUAGGAAGAACACCAGUGGCGAAGGCGGCUUGCUGGACAGUAACUGACGUUGAGGCUCGAAAGCGUGGGGAGCAAACAGGAUUAGAUACCCCAGUA
rnacentral:rRNA from 1 species